GAGCAUGUGAACUUAACCAGUACACCACCAAGCCAGCCUCUUUUUUUAAAAAAUGAACCCUUGGAAAAUCACCGUUUGACUUCUGGACACAGUGUUUCAGACUUCAGUGUUAAUUUUAUUAGGCAGUAUAAUCAUAAAGUCGCUUGAAUCAUCAUGUAACUAUUUGUGCUUCUGGACCUUACUAGUCAUGCCUCUAAGAACUGAAUGCUCAAAUCAUCAUUCCAACAAAGAGAGAAUUAAUCAACCCAACAUUAUUCAGACGCCAAAGUAACUCGCUGGAGGGAUUCUCAUUUUUAAAAAUGUAGUCUUAAAAUAAAGAAAAAGGAAAUCGGAAUUUUUGGAGGCUUCUUAUAACAAUGAUGAGUUGGUAUCUUUGGUAAUGCAAAAGGAAGUAGAGAGCCACAUUUUGUGGAAUCUUCUACCAAUUAGAGUCUACAGGAUGAGGGCAAAUUUCCCAGUUCCUCCAGGGCUUCCUUAUCUUCUUUAGCAAAAUUGAACUAGUUCUACUGAGAGAUCCCACCAUACGCUAUGGAGAAUAAUUUAUGUACAGUUUAAAAACAAAAAGAGUAAAACGUUCAGGGUAUACACCCAAAUAUCUACAGUGUCACAACACUAUACAAAAAUCUACAGUACCCAUCCUCUCCCCCUUUUUAAAUCCUGCUUAUUACUUUUUCUCGUCUAAAUGGUACUCAUACUCCUUUAUACGAAAACUUUCUUUCUUAGGUUACAAUUUCAUAUUCAUCUAACAAACAUUUAAUGAGUACAUAAUUUGUGCCUAGUGUUAUGUUGUGUAGAGGAUGAUGAACAUGGUUCAGGAUUCAAAUUGCUCGUGGGUUAGUUGAGGAGAUAGAAAUAUAAGCCAAUAAUUAUAACUGUGAAAGUGUUAUAAGAGUAUAAAGUUUUAUGGGCUUCCAGAAGAAGGAAGGUACGAUUUGGGCCUCUCUCGUGCUCUAUUGUGUAUACUCCAUCCUGGCUCUCAUCCUCACCACUCCUCCAACUGUUCUCAUCAAAGUCAACAAUGACUCCCAUGUUGCUAAAUCUGGGUCACGUCCUAGUCCUCAUCUUGCUCAAUAUGUUAGCAAUAUUUCACACAGUUGUUCAUUUCCUCCUUCUUGAAAGACUUUCUUCACUGGCUCAUGGGAGGUCACUCUUACUUCAUUUCCUGUCUCACUGGCCACUCCUUUGAAGUCUUCUCUGUUGGCUCUUCUUCAUCUUCCCAACUUCUAAACAUUUGGAGUGCUCCAAAACUCAGUCGCUGACCUUGAUGCUCCUCUCACUUCUCUGAAUAUCUCUUCAUCCACUCCAUGGGUUCAGCAGCUCUUUUCUGGACUUUGCAGCUCUAUCCUGUCUGUUUUGAGAAUUAAUCGAGGGAGCAAUAUACUAUAAUGGAUAACUUCAGGAUCCUUGCAGUUUGCAAGUCCAGAGACCAAGCACAGGCUGCCGUGGAAUUGCUCUGUGACCCGGGCCAAUGUGCUUCACUUUCCUGAGCCUAUUUCCUCAUCAGGAAAAUCAGAAGAGCAAUAGCAUACUCUUUAUCAGGUUGUUAUAAGGACUAAACAAAUGAAGACUUGUACCUGUUAGAACAGGAGCGGGUCCAUACAAACAUCAGCAUGAUUAUCUAGAAACACAAACAUAACCAGAUGAUUGAGUUUUUCUCUUCUUUACAUGAAUGUUUGGCAACCACCAUCUCUGCGUUUGAUAGGAAUACAAUCCCAGGAUUUUUCUGACCCUGAGUAAAGUGCAGUUGAUUCCAUCUAGCCUUAAAAAAAAAAUUGUUCUAAUGUGUUGACCUUGCAUGUGCCAUAUGUAAGACCACAUAAUGCAUCUUACUGGAAGCCACAUUCAUUAUUUAUCAUUUGUUCAAUGCCCACUCUUGACCGGGCACUAUGUUAGGUAGUGAUAGCUCAAAGAAGAACAAACCAAAGCCUUUAUCCUCAGAAACCUUACAGUGUUCUUCCUAGUACGCGCAUCGUUACUGUAAGCAUUGCCCUCUGUAUCAGUCAGUGUUUAAGUACUGUAACAAACAGUCCCAAUGUCUCAGUGGCUCAAUAAAGGUUUAUUUCUUAUUCA